CCUGCUGUCCUGGAAGCUGGGCAAAGCGCUCAGUGGGGAUAGACUGUGGGGACAGGAGAACCCGGGGCGGGGGCGGUGGGGGGGCGGUAAGGACACUCAGAACUGGAGCUGGCCUCCCACUUUGGUGGUGUAAUGCAGGCCAAGUUAUGGGACUCUUCUUUUUUGGGGUGAGGGGGCUGCACAUAGGGCAUAUGGAAGUCCCCAGGCUAGGGGUUGAAUUGGAGCUGCAGCUGCCAGCCUACACCACAGCCACAGCAACGCCAGAUCCGAACCGUGUCUGCGACCUACACCAGAGCUCAUGGCAAUGCCGGAUCCCCAACCCACAGAGCGAGGCCAGGAAUCGAACCUGCAACUUCAUGGUUCCUAGGUGGAUUCAACUACACUGCGUCACAACGGGAACUCCAUGUUAUGGGACUAUCUGAGCAUCUGCACCCCUUCCCUAAGAUGGGUAGGAAACCCACCACACUAAGUUGAUGUGGAAUUUAAAUAAGAAAGGGCUGUAUAACCUGCCCAGCACGUGGCCACGAUCAAUGCGUCGUAGCCCCUUCCCCAGACCUGGUGGCUCUGCAAACUCUCCCAUCAUCGAAAGCAAUGCUUUGUUAACGCAUGCAUCGAGGACUCUAGGAAAGCUUCCUAUUUUAGAAAAAGCGGAGUGUACAUUUGAUCUUUGUCGUAAACUGAGUCAGCACUCUUUAAGGAGGGGUAAACCUAGACUUCCUGAUAGACCUUGCCUUGGGAAGCUGACUGAGAGGGAAGGCACCACCCAAGCUCCUUUUUGAUCGGCGGGUACCUGGUUCCAGGUGUUUGUCCUUGGAGCCCCCUAUUUAAUCACUCAGUUCUGGGCUCAGAGGAGCCCUGUGGCUCCAGUGCUGGCAGAGCCAGCUUCCUGAGAAAGCAGGCAUGGGGAGGGGUCUUCUCUCCUGGCCUUUCCAUCUAUCCAUCCAUCCAGGCAGGAGCAGGGACCCUAAGGAGGCAGGGAUGCAACUGGGCUUCCUGCAGAGACUUGGGUCACAUCUGGAGGCUCUCCAUUAAGGAGUGGACAGGGAAAAAAGUGUGCUUAUAAGAACAGGUAUUUGAAAAACAAAAUUAGCCAUUGGCAAAAUAGCUGCAUAAUAAUGAAAACAUCAGCCCUGCUGAUGGCAUGACAGGUUCUGCUCUAGACACUUUAUAUGUGUUAACUUAUACUAAUCUGCCCAGCAACCCAACGAGGGAGGUACUGUUAUUUUUCUCAUGCUGGGAUUAGGAAACUCCAGCCCAGGAGAGAAUCAGUGAAUUAGUCCAGUUCCCAGAGCCAAGGGCAGGGAUCUGGAUUCUAGGCAGACUGGCUCCUGAGCCUGGGCUCUAGACUGUUCAUUUGUUUCACUGAUUGAGAUUCCAUGGAUCAUUGGCACAAUUUUCCUGCUCAGCGAACAGCCCUUUCCUAAUCCCAAGCUUACACUCUCAGAUUUAUUUGUUUCGAGUCGAAGCAGGGUGUUAGAUAACUGGAGGAGGCUCAGUAAAAAAGCAGUUAUGACUUCAUUUGAAAUUCAGGCGUAUGAAGCCUUGUUGAUUUUAUUUUCAAGUGAAAUAACCUUUUGGUUAGUUUUAUCAGUCAUUAUUUUUCAGCAAUUUGUUCAAUGGCCAAACAAUCCCCAUUGAAGUGAUUCAUGCUGUACAACAAGGGAGGUCUGUUACUUUCGUUAAUUGUCUCUUUGGGGGUAAAAAGCCCAACCACAGAGCACUCCACCGACACCAGCCGAGAGGCGGAAACAGAGGGGUGGGCUUUGGGCGAAAGCGAAGCCUCUGGGGACUCAGUUAACCGGAAUUUCAGGAGCGGAGAGAAGCAAUAGGAAGACACCUGUUCAUAAGAAUAAAGUGACACAGGCGCUGUCAAGGGCCACUCCUUACAAGGAGCUCACUGCCUCCGAGCCUGCUGUCUGCCCUGGUGUGCAUAACUCAUUCGCCAUGGCCCUAGGAAGGGGGUCUAGUCCUUCCCCCCGUCUUAUGAUUACCUGGUCCUUUUCCAGAACUCUGAAAGUUACCCCCUUGUUACCCAAAGCGGAACACUUACUUCUACGGUCCAUGGCUCUGGCAGAGGUCUGAAUGUCACCAUCGACGAGCGGGAUGACCGUGGGCCAACCAGGGUCACGUCUCUGACCCCCAGCCUCCCCCUCUCCCCUCUCCCCCUGAUCGUCCUCGGGACUGCCCACGGGUUACCCCAAAACAACGCAGGGAUCGUGCUCCCGGUUCCCAGCACGAGGUGGCCCAGAAAUGGGAGAUGCUGUUACGAUUCGGAAUGUCCUAAACAAUGAUCAUGGUAAAACUAUUAUUUAAAUUUUACCUAAACCCCAACGUUACUUAUUUAUUUAUUUUCCUCUGAGCAGCCUGUGAUGAUGAAACCAGGGACAGGGGCUGGAUGGGUCGCCUGGGGCCUCCCGACAAGUACCAAACACGAGGUGGCUUAUAGCAGCAGGAAUUCGCUCUCUCCCAGCUCUGGAGGCCAGAAGUCCACAGCCAAGGUGUGGCCAGGGCUGCGGUCCCUCUGAAAACUCCAGGACACAGUCUGCUCCACGCCUGUCUCUGAGCUACUGGUGUGGCCGGAGAGCCUUGGAGAUGCCUGCUUUUACCCGAUCGCUCCCAUCUCUGCCUCCCACUUCCCACGCCUUCAGCCCUGUGUAUCCAUCACUUGUCUCCACCUCCUACGGCGGACACCAGUCAGACUGGGUCGAGCCACUCAGAUGACCUCGUCUUAAUUUGAUUCUUCCUCAAAGUCCCUGUUUCUAAAGCGAUCACAUUCGCAGGAACCAGGACUUGAACGCAGCUUUUGGAGGAACACAAAGCAACCUAUACCAGGUGCCCUGAAGUUCUGGCUCACAGCCCUGGCCCCGAGGAGGUGAGGCACCUCAAUCUGCAAACAAAACCAUUCCCAUUAUCUCUGUGGAAGGAACACACCACUUUUUUGGUGACUGCCAGUUCUUGCUUUGUUUAUAGUUUUCUGAUUCAAAGGUUUUCUUUGUCAAGGGCUGCAAAAUCACAACCUUCUUUUGGGAAAUGGCAAGAUUACACUGAGAACAGAAAACACUGUUCAUUUACGAAGCCUAAAGUACACUCAAGACAGAAGGGAGCAUCCUGUGAGCCAGUAACCUGGGAAAGUGCGCCGAUGGCAUCUCCAGAGACAACCUCGACAUUUUGCCAUGUUCUUAGGCGGUCUUUGCCUCCCUGCAAGGCAGCGCUUGACAGUGGUGUUCAGGACACCUGGAUGCAAUUAGCACCGGAGUGGAUCUACCUCCGCAGAGAGAAAAAUUAAGGUUGACGAUAUUGGAAAACGUCGUUAUUCCCGUUGAACCAGGUUCUGUCGACUUGACAGAGGGUCAGUGCACCCUCUUGGCGGAGCUGAACCUUCCCAGCCCUUCUGUUUCCAGCGGGCACCCAUCUCCUCUGGCUUCUGCAGAACCGCAGGAAGGGGAGAACCGCGGUACUCACAGCCGCCAGCAGGCGGGGGGGGUGUGUUUCCCCCGGAAGCACAGGUGUCCUGUUUUGUUCAUCCCUUCAUCAGUCGAGGGACAUCGGACGGCUUCUGUGUUUUAGCCAUUGUGAAUACUACUGCUGUGAAUCUUUGUGUGCAAGUUUUCACAUGGAGAUAUGUUUCCAUUUCUCUUGGAUAUACAGGUUAUUGCAGAGCAUUGCAUCGACUGCCCAGGGUUAUACAGUAAAAGACCUGGACAUCUUUGGGGGUCAUGGUUCCUCCCAGGUCUGCAACGCCCUCUUCCCCAGAGCCCCUCACCUGAGAUGCCCCCCGUGGGUGUCCCUUCCUCCUUCAACUCCCCGACUCAACUGCCUUGGAGGACCUCACUGGACCCCAGCUGCGGGUCCUGGUGAAGGAUGGUUUGUCAUAUCCUGAUUUAGUCAAUAUUUUCAGUUAAGCACCGAAGGCCGAGAGCAUCUUCUGAAAUAAGGACCCACCGCAGCGCCGCUCCUGGCUCUGUUCUCUCUCCACCUUUGGAGGAAGCUUUAUGAGAAAGGCCCCAAGAAACCAAACAUAACGACCUCGAAGACGAGCCCACAUGAUGCUUCAUCAUGAGGCUUGCGAGACCCGCGAGACCCAUCAGAACGAUAAUCUGAAGAUGCUUCCUCAACAUUUCGGAGCAGCAGGGCCCACAGACGACACUGCAAACUUCUUAGAAACCUUCGGUCCAACAAGGAGAGAUACUGUACACUACACUGCGCAUUCUGAAGGCAGGAUGAAAAAAGACUUUAGCUAUUUAACAGUUUGCCCUUUGUUUUUCCCAUUAAAGAAAAGGCAGCAUCCUGAAUUCCCAUCAUGGCUCAGCAGUCAUGAAUACAAGUAGUAUCCACGAGGACACAGGUUCCAUUGGUGGCCUUGUUCAGUGGGUUAGGGAUCCUGCAUUGCCACAAGCUGUGGCGUAGGUCACAGAGGUGGCUCAGAUCUGAAUCUGGCAUGGCUGUGGCUGUGGUGUAGGCCGGCAGCUGCAGCUCUGAUUGGACCCCUGGCCUGGGAACUUCCAUAUGUCAUUAGAUGUGGCCCUAAAAACCAAAUAAAUAAAUACAGACAUACAUAAAUACAUAAAAAGGGCACCAUCAAGACUGCAGUCUGGGAGUUCCCAUCAUGGCGCAGUGGUUAAAGAAUCUGACUAGGAAUCAUGAGGUUGCGGGUUCAAUCCCUGGCCUUGCUCGGUGGGUUAAGAAUCUGGCAUUGCCAUGAGCUGUGGUGUAGGUCGAAGACGCGGUUGGGAUCCCGCAUUGCUGUGGCUGUGGUGUAGGCUCCGAUUAGACUCCUAGCCUGGGAAUCUCCAUAUGCCGAGGGUGAGGCCCUAGAAAAGGCAAAAAGACAAGAAAAAAAAAAAGACUGCAGUCUGGCUUUGUAGGGGACAAAAAGGAAUGUCAUCAAUUCUGAGAUUCAAACUAAAUGUUAAACUUUCAGGACCGUGGAAGUCUGAGAAAUACUUUCUAUGUCAAAAGAACGUGAAUUUUUAUACGGUAAGGCCUUGAAUCACAAUCCUUAGGCUGGUAAGGAUGUUUAAAUCGUUUUGAAAAACUAUUGAAGGAAGGAUAAAGAAAAGCAUUUAAGGAGUUCCCGUCGUGGCGCAGUGGUUAAUGAAUCUGACUAAGAACCAUGCGGUUUCGGGUUCGAUCCCUGCACUUGCUCAGUGGGUUAAGGAUCUGGUGUUGCCGUGAGCUGUGGCGUAGGUCGCCGAUGUGGCUCGGAUCCCACGUUGCUGUGGCUCUGGCGUAGGCUGGUGGCUACAGCUCCGAUUCGACCCCUAGCCUGGGAGCGGCCCAAAAAAUGGAAAAAAAAAAAAAAAAAAAAAAAAAAA
rnacentral:lncRNA from 1 species